rnacentral:lncRNA from 1 species
AUGGCAAACCGGGAUCCCAAACCGGGAACGGCUCCAGCAACGGCCCCGGGGUCCCGAACCGGGAUCCCAAACCGGGACCCCAAACUGGGAACUGCCCCCGGGAUCCCGAGCCGGGAAUUGCUCCAGGAAUUACUUCGGAAUUGUCCCGGGAUCCUGCCUCGGGAUCCAGCACCAGGAAUUGCCCCGGGACCGGGACUGGGAUCCCGAACCGCCCAGGUGCCCGGGACCGGACUGGGUCCCGAACCGGAAUUGCCCGGGAAUUGCCCCGGGACCGGGACUGGGAUCCCGAACCGGGAAUUGCCCCGGGAAUUGCCCCGGGACCGGGACUGGGAUCCCGAACCGGGAAUUGCCCCGGGAAUUGCCCCGGGACCGGGACUGGGAUCCCGAACCGGGAAUUGCCCCGGGAAUUGCCCGGGACCGGGACUGGGAUCCCGAACCGGGAAUUGCCCCGGGAAUUGCCCCGGGACCGGGACUGGGAUCCCGAACCGGGAAUUGCCCCGGGAAUUGCCCCGGGACCGGGACUGGGAUCCCGAACGGGGAAUUGCCCCGGGAAUUGCCCCAGGACCCCGAACCGGGUCUGGGACCAGGGUCCUACCCCGGGAAUCGCUCCGGGAUCCUGAGCCAGGGGUCCCCCCCCGGGAUCAUCCCCGGAGCCCCCCGGGACCCCCGGCUGGGGAAGGGGAGGGGUCACCGGGGGCGCCUCGAUCCCGAAAUAUCCCGGAGCAAAUUGGAUCAGGGCGGACAAAGCCGAGCUUAGAGCCGGGUUUAGCCGCGGGGGCGGCGCCCAGCGGGGGCGGGAGGGGCCCCCGAGCCCCCCCCGAGCCCCCCGAGCCCGGACACGCACGUGGGGGGACACGGGGACGGGCGCUGUCACCGCCGGGAUUUUGGGGACCCCCCCACAAGGACAGGACCCCCCCGCGCCCCGCCAGCUGCGAGCCAGAUGUUGGCGUGGCCGAAACAGCUGGGCCGGGACAAUGCGGGGGGACAGCCAGGGGAGACCCCCCCCGUGGGGGUGGCACUUGA